AGAGUUUGAUCCUGGCUCAGGACGAACGCUGGCGGCGUGCCUAACACAUGCAAGUCGAACGGAAAUUAGCUCUAAGCUUGCUUAGAGCGAGUUUUAGUGGCGGACGGGUGAGUAACGCGUGGGUAACCUACCCAUAAAGCCGGGACAACCCUUGGAAACGAGGGCUAAUACCGGAUAAUCUUAGAUACUGGCAUCAGUAUCUAAGGAAAGAUGGCCUCUGAAGAUGCUAUCGAUUAUGGAUGGACCCGCGUCUGAUUAGCUAGUUGGUGGGGUAAAGGCCUACCAAGGCGACGAUCAGUAGCCGGCCUGAGAGGGUGAACGGCCACACUGGGACUGAGACACGGCCCAGACUCCUACGGGAGGCAGCAGUGGGGAAUCUUCCGCAAUGGACGAAAGUCUGACGGAGCAACGCCGCGUGUAUGAUGAAGGUCUUCGGA
rnacentral:rRNA from 1 species